AUUGAAUGCUGGCGGCAUGCCUUACACAUGCAAGUCGAACGGUAACAGGUCUUCGGAUGCUGACGAGUGGCGAACGGGUGAGUAAUACAUCGGAACGUGCCCGAUCGUGGGGGAUAACGGAGCGGAAGCUUUGCUAAUACCGCAUACGAUCUACGGAUGAAAGCAGGGGACCGCAAGGCCUUGCGCGGACGGAGCGGCCGAUGGCAGAUUAGGUAGUUGGUGGGAUAAAAGCUUACCAAGCCGACGAUCUGUAGCUGGUCUGAGAGGACGACCAGCCACACUGGGUCUGAGACACGGCCCAGACUCCUACGGGAGGCAGCAGUGGGGAAUUUUGGACAAUGGGCGCAAGCCUGAUCCAGCCAUGCCGCGUGCAGGAUGAAGGCCUUCGGGUUGUAAACUGCUUUUGUACGGAACGAAAAGACUCUGGUUAAUACCUGGGGUCCAUGACGGUACCGUAAGAAUAAGCACCGGCUAACUACGUGCCAGCCGCCGCGGUAAGAC
rnacentral:rRNA from 1 species